CAGGGAGACAACAAAAUGUUUAAUAUUAUUAUUUUGUCACCUUAGGUCGAUCGGUAUCUCACGUUUUUAAUUUAUUAAGAAUUUCAUUUCCUAAGUUUUUCUAGGUCACACCCAUUAUUUUUCCUGGGCCAUUAGCUCAGGUGGUUAGAGCGCACCCCUGAUAAGGGUGAGGUCCCUGGUUCAAGUCCAGGAUGGCCCAUAUCUCUAUGUUGGGGGUAUAGCUCAGUUGGUAGAGCGCCUGCUUUGCAAGCAGGAUGUCAGCGGUUCGAGUCCGCUUACCUCCACUGAUCACCACCUCUUCCAUAAUCGGUAGAAAGGAAAUUUUUUGAGUUGUGAUCAAAUUCUGAAAGAAUCUAGCUUCCUAAUGAAAUCAUUAAGAUGCUGGACUCAUUGAAUUAAUUUCAUUGUUUUCAGAGAACCUUGACAACUGCAUAGAUUUUUUUUAAAGACAAUAAGCAUCUUUAAUGAUGCAGAUUUAUUAUUUGUGCAAAUGCAUUAAUAACAAUUCUAUUAAGCUGAUGCUUCAAUAUUUGAAGUUAUU
rnacentral:tRNA from 1 species